CAAGGCCGGCAAAGAGGCUCGAGUGUGCGGCUUACACGCAUGAUCCAGAACAUAGUUUCGGACAAGUACUGCAAGGAGGCAUUCUAAAAUCUGCUCAUGAACUUUGGCAAGUGUACCCCUCCUCAAAAUGUGAUUGUGAAUUGUGGGGCAACCCACUGGACAGAGGGUGAAAAAGGAGAUACCAUACCAGUUUCCUGAUCUGAAAGUGGAGAUAAUGAAAGCACCUACUACGUAAGGUCCGUUGUGAGAAUUCAAUGAAGAAGGCAUGCAAAGUCCCUGGGGUAUGGGAAGUUCUCAGUUUCAGCCAUUGCUAUUAUUGGAAGUGACUCCUGUGGUACGUCGGGCCAACCUAAUUAGCACAUGUGAGCUGCACCAGUGACUUCUAGUUGCACCCCAGGUCUACCUACUUGUCCUUUUCCUUCCCAAUCCCCCUCUCAAAGCCUUCGGCCCCCAAAUAUACCCCCGCCCCCAGGAACUUCCACUUCCGCAGCUCCUAAAUGGCUGGGACCUCUGGGCCCUUUGUCAUCUUCUCCAAAAAAGUACAAAGGUUAUCCAUUUAUAAACAAGAAGAAAUCCAAAAGUGAAAAUAUAAAGGAAUUAGGAAUUUCCUCAUCAAUUGUUCAAGAGUAAUUGUUUAAAAGUCAGAGGAAUCAGAAGGAAAGUGGUAGUAAAGAAAAACAAAAUUGAUUAAAGCAGAAGGUAGGAAGGACCAGUCACCAACUUCGAACACAGUCAUCUGAAGAUGUUUUAAAUACCACAUCAGAGCUAAAGAUAAAGGUUUUCUUUACAAAAGCUUUGGUUAAAAGUAGAAGCUAAUUGUCACCUCACAGAAGGCGGGCUCUAACGACUCCAGCGUGACCCGGCCAGGGAGUGCAGCAAAGUUGCCAGGCCUGCAGCCGUGAGGCUGGACUUAUUCAUCAGGCAGAACCUACCUUGGCUGGGGGAGUGGAGGACCCCAGACUGCGAGGACCCCAGACUGCGCGGCAGAAAGAGGGGAAAUGGCUGGGCGCAGGUCCCUGGACACAGGAUCCGAAACCAUGAAGGCAAGCAGGGUCGGACCCAGGAGGCCGACCAGCAGGCUCUGCAAAGCUCCUGGGGCAGGCAGCUGUCCAGAGCCAAGGUCUUGGCCUUUCGUUGCCAGAACCACCUCCAGGAGGCCGUCAGCCUCUGGGGUGUGGCUCCAAGCAUUGUCUAGCAGAAAAAGCAUGGCGUCUGAUGACAGCAAGCAACAGUGUAAAACGGUGAGAACAUUCUGGAAGAAUAUUCUGCUGAGUGCGGAGACCGUAAAAUGUAGAAGAGGGCUCGCUCUCCUUUUUACACUUUAUUGAAGACAACCGUCAGAAGCAGAACUGGAUGUGUGUUCAAGUCUGAAAAUCUACAGGGCAGAAAAAGAGAACCACAGCAUCUUUUAGUGACUACAAACUAAACCUAUAUGGAAUGAAGCCUGAAAGCAGGGGUGGGUAAUGACCCCCAAAAUUGGAGACAGGAGAGGUUUCAAAGUUAAACCUAUGGCUAUGCAAAUAUUUGAGAGGUAUUUUCAUUAAAACAUCUUUUUUUCCCACCAAUACCAUGAAUUAUCUGCUAUUGCUAUAUAUAACCUACAGCAGAGUACAGGAGAGUCACCUAGGGUUGAAGGUUUAAGGCGCCGGGUAUACCGUUUUCAUGGGUGAUAAAUAAGGUUCUCUGAUCCCCAGAGCUAAGAGAAUGGAAAUAAUAGUAGCUAAAGCUAAUUGAGAACUGGAUAUAUUUACUCAUUUAAUCCUUGCAGUGAUCUUAUAAGGUAGGGACUAUUCCCACACCCUUGACAGGUGAGUCCACUGAAGAGCCCAGAGAUUAAGUGACAAGCCUAAGGUCACACAGCUGGU